AAGCUUUUUUGUUAUUCUGUACUAAAAUCGGAAUAAAUACAGAGAACAUUAGCAUUGCCCUUGUGCAAGGAUAAUAAACAAUUAUAUCAUUUAUAU
rnacentral:snRNA from 1 species